rnacentral:rRNA from 1 species
AUUGAACGCUGGCGGCAUGCCUUACACAUGCAAGUCGAACGGCAGCACGGGAGCAAUCCUGGUGGCGAGUGGCGAGCGGGUGAGUAAUAUAUCGGAACGUGCCCAGUGAUGGGGGAUAGCCCGGCGAAAGCCGGAUUAAUACCGCAUACGACCUACGGGUGAAAGCAGGGGAUCGCAAGACCUUGCGUCAUUGGAGCGGCCGAUAUCAGAUUAGCUGUUGGUGGGGUAAAAGCCUACCAAGGCGACGAUCUGUAGCUGGUCUGAGAGGACGACCAGCCACACUGGGACUGAGACACGGCCCAGACUCCUACGGGAGGCAGCAGUGGGGAAUUUUGGACAAUGGGCGCAAGCCUGAUCCAGCCAUGCCGCGUGCGGGAAGAAGGCCUGGUGU